UAGCUAUAUUGUGGGCAAGAAUUUAAAAGAUCCUUGAAUCUUUUCCAGUAUUGAAAGAAGGUUUCUUCCUCUUUCUAUAAAAAAUUCAUAAUCGCUCCUCUCAGGGU